AAAUUCACACACAACCGGCACUGAUUCAACUUUCUUUUCAACUUCUUUUGUAUUAAUUACAUACGCCAAAUAAGCUUCAUAACCCUUUCUCAAAUAUCUCUGAGCCAACAUCGAAGAAAUCAUACUAGAUAAUGCCUCUGAUUUAUCUGAUUCAACUCGCAGAGUUUCACCAUUUCCACAUUUUAAUUCUAUAAUCUUUUCUUUGCAAUUUAUUUUAGCAUCAUGCAAUGUCAACCAAUCCAUACCCAAAAUAACAUCAAACUCAUCAAACGGCAAC
rnacentral:lncRNA from 1 species